rnacentral:pre_miRNA from 1 species
GGAUGCAUUACUGGGCAAUUACUCCAUUGGCAGUUGGCCACUCGGCUGACCGUGAUUAACUUCACAAGUUCCAGAGUAAGCUCACUGCCAAAGGAGAUUUGCCCCGCAACUCAUCU